rnacentral:rRNA from 1 species
CGGGGUGAGUAACGCGUAGGAACCUAUCGCACAGUGGGGGAUAACACGGGGAAACCGGUGCUAAUACCGCAUGUGGUCAGCGAUGAAGAAAGCAGCAAUGCGCUGUGUGAGGGGCCUGCGUCCGAUUAGCUGGUUGGUGGGGUAACGGCCUACCAAGGCGACGAUCGGUAGCUGGUCUGAGAGGAUGGUCAGCCACACUGGGACUGAGAUACGGCCCAG